rnacentral:rRNA from 1 species
GAUGAACGCUGGCGGCGUGCUUAACACAUGCAAGUCGAACGGAAAGGCCCAAGCUUGCUUGGGUACUCGAGUGGCGAACGGGUGAUUAACACGUGGGUGAUCUGCCCUGCACUUCGGGAUAAGCCUGGGAAACUGGGUCUAAUACCGGAUAGGACCACAUUUUGGAUGGUGUGGUGGAAAGUUUUUCGGUGUGGGAUGAGCUCGCGGCCUAUCAGCUUGUUGGUGGGGUAAUGGCCUACCAAGGCGUCGACGGGUAGCCGGCCUGAGAGGGUGUACGGCCACAUUGGGACUGAGAUACGGCCCAGACUCCUACGGGAGGCAGCAGUGGGGAAUAUUGCACAAUGGGCGCAAGCCUGAUGCAGCGACGCCGCGUGGGGGAUGACGGCCUUCGGGUUGUAAACUCCUUUCGCUAGGGACGAAGCGUUAUGUGACGGUACCUGGAGAAGAAGCACCGGCUAACUACGUG